UUCUGCUUUCAAUCCUAAUUCCAUCAACACUUCAGAGAUGGAAGGAUGUGCGUGUGUUGUUAGUCCUAAUUCUAAUGCCGAGCCAUUCAUGAACUGUAACAGUGAUGCCUCAUUAAUCAAUUCUGUUACAUGUGGACCAAUCAU
rnacentral:sRNA from 1 species